CCAAUUGAAAUCCCAAGUACCAACCUUGGGGACUUUAUUGCCAACCAGCAAUGGAAUCUAGCAGCUCAAGUAGAGCUGCUGCUAGGCAUCAGGGAGAACAGUAUACUAGCAGCAAUCCCAACUGUUUUCUGGAACCUAAAAUCUAAAAGUAUACUCAGCGUUCUUUUUCUUCAACUCUGGCGUCUCCUGGUACAGCGAUAUCAAUAAACUGUACGCUUCAGUUUUCGACAACUGUGAUAUCUGGUGUGUUAUGUUCUAAAUGAUGAUCCAUCUGUAUUUGAAAGUUCUACAAGAUCUUCACCUUCUCAUUUUUGACAACUUUUUCCACUUUGUGUUCCCAUGACUUUUCAGAUACAGGUGAACUUCUGAGCAACUGAAACAAGAUUAGCAUAGCAAUGGCAAACAGUACUACAACAAUAAUCUUCCUCCAUAGUAUUCAAUCAUUUGGAAUUCAUAUUGUUUGGUCAACCUACAAGAGCACACCAAGUAAUGAAUCCAGUCUUGGGCUGGGACAACAAAAUGAAGGAAGCUUGUGUUGACUGACCUAAAAUAGCGUCGAGUGAUGAGAGUGACAGCGGCGAGAUUUCAAAUUCUUUAAAACGAAAGAGAGGAGUGUGCAAAUAUACCAAAGACUGGGAAGCUACUUUUGCAUGGAUUACCAACAGCGAAACCGACAGAACAAAUACGAUGGCCUACUGUAAAUUGUUUAUAAUUAACCCAAGGCCAAAUGAAGCUGGAAAGGAAAACAGAGAAAGACUUUAGGGACUCAUAUACUUCUGUUUUCAAAUAAAUAAAUAAAUACACACAGGCACACAGGCACGCACAAGGACCUGAACAAAAUCAAAAUGAUUUGAUUUAUAAUUGCAGAUGGACGAAAUUAUGGAGAAAUGAGUGAAGAACAAAGAGGAAGCUUAUUCAGAUAUAGAGAAUGAAGAAAGCCUACUGAAACAUUUUGCAAGCCAUGAUAAAUGCUAUAUCAAUUUAAUCCAGAGAAAACAAUAAAUUGCUUUUCUCCUGACCUUAGAAUUCAACACAGAGAAAUUAAUCUGGAAAUGAAGGAAAUAUAUGGAGAGACUAUCUUGAAUGUGUUUGAAAAGAGUAAAUUUAACUAGUUGAACAGACCAAAUCUU